UUUUAUUCGUCUAGUGGGGGCAGUACAGCAAAUAAAUGAUGUGGGUCCGAUCGCUUCGCUAAAAGUCGUGGCGGAGAAUGUUUUUUAAUCAUCUGGCACACCGUCCAUAAUAAUCAUCUGAUCACUUCGUGGGACGACAUGGCUUCUGCUCCAGCAUCGCUCGGCUUAGACUAAGUGCUUCAGGUGUUUUUCUUCCCUUUCUUUACAAUGCCGGGAUGUCUGGAGAUUCCGUCUUUCGUCUUGCGAAACGGGCACCGCUGUUCUCUCGCCGUACUCGGACGGCACGCACAGAGAAGGAGUUGUGGCUAGUGAAGCUGGUACGAGAUGCUAUGCUGGGAGCCCCGCAGCCGCAACAUAAACGCCAAUUGACCGCUGAUCCUCUUUCCUCGACGCCCGCAGAUGGCAUCCGAAAUGUGUCUGUCCUCCUGGAGAGGGUGAGGAACUGGUCCCCGGAAACAGCAGUGCCAUACUAACGAGAUGGACUUAAUCAGGAAGAUAGUAAAGAAGAAAAUGUGAACAGAUACAGCAAUCUACUGAGGAAGUUAAAAAAAAUCUUUAGAGCCCCCCCAGAGGAAGUGAAAAACAUCGUGAUCGAAGAAGAAUGAGGCAGGGAUCCGUGUCGUUUCUGCUCCUUUGGAGCAUUAUAUAACAGUUGGGUUCUGGUCCAAAUUUACAAGAAAAUUGACUGUGCUUUUUUGGUUGUUUUUUUGUUGUUGUUGUUGCUGUUUUUCAGUUCGAUCGCAGCUGGAAACGACAUUCUGUGUCUCCAAAGUGUUUCGCUAAAGAAAUAAGCCGUCCGGUUUGUUAUUUCUAAUUUAACCGGAGAUGAUUGAGGAUGAUGACAAAGACGGUCGGUUAUUAAUUGCCUUGCUUAUCUGUGUGUAUAGAUAUUGUACAAAUGAAAUGACUUUUUGUAUAAAUGCUAAAGCAUCUUUAAUUGGUCCUUUAGGCCUAUUUAAACCUGUUAUUGCUUAAUUCAUUUUAUGAAUGACUUUACUCCAAUACGUUGGCUGCAGCAGCUGACAGUGUAAACAAGCUACUGUACUCUUAGAAACAUGCCCCCGUUAAAUAUACUUAUAUGUAUUGGCAUUGCUCGGUUACAGACGGAUAAUCUUUAAAUUCCGUCUUUCUGGUUAAUUUUUUAAACACACACACACACACACACACACACACACACAGAGAGAGAGAGAGAGAGAGAGAGAGAGAGAGAGAGAGAGAGAGAAUAUAUUUACAAAUUUAUAAUAUAUUUAUAGAAUGUAUUAUAGAAUUAAGCCUAUAAUCACUCAUGUUGCUUGAUGAUUUAACAGCAGCUAAAAUGCAAACAGGUAAUGUCCACGUGCAUGCAGCCACCCCCUCAUACGGAACUAAUAAUCAUACUGGACACGAUGACAACACAGCUAGGGACGUAAAGUCUACUUUCCCAGUAAAACUGACAGUAUGUAUUGGUCAAUGUUGGAUAUACACCAAAGGACGAGGUAGGCCUAAAAGAUGAAGAUGUCCAUGACUUAUUUUUAACCAACACAGAACGUUAACGAAGUAAGUAGCACUGACAAACGCCUCGUGAGCGGAAAAGACAGGUUACCGCUCAGAAUAAAGCGGCCAUGCAGACUAUAACGCUUUUGCGAUCCCUUACUGUGCCUGUCAGUCACACAUCUUAGUCGUAUGGCAGCAGGGCUGCUGCGUCAGUCCUCAGCUUUGCGUUUGGAAAUAUUUAGCUUUUACCCAUAUUCCCAUGGGUGUCUUCCUGAUACUCCCAGAAUAUAUAUUUUAAUUGGGCUGGACACAAUAUUCCUCGUUAUAUAAAACUAUGUGUAUAAAAGGCACUCUCCUGUUAUCUCCGUGACAGGCUUCGAGGCACUCUGACCCUAACUGGGAAAGCGAUUGUUUAAAACAGAUACAUGGAUGCCAUGUAUUACUAGUACAAAAAAUAUAAAGUGAAUAAAACAGUUUCAUCUAAUUAACUCUAAUAGGAUCAAUAACAAACAAAAUCAAUUAUUUAGAUUAUCGUUGGUCCGCCUUUUGGCUCCAGUGAAGAUCAUGACAAAUGCACUGGGAAAAUGAAAACCAAAAAAAUGCUCAAUAUACUAAAAAACGCGUGUACUUGGAGAAAACGGAGAGCACCUCUAAAACAUAAAACACGAAGAGAUAUAGCAACAUGGAUUAAUAUGUGCAGCGUGGACGGGAAAUAACUAAUCAGGACCCUGGUGGCAAUCCCGGAUAAGGGGAGAAGAAGAUGUAAAGUUCUGAUGCUCAGCAUCAAGCAGAUGUUGCGCUGGCCAGACCAGACGCGGCUUGGAUCACAAAUAGGAGCAGUGCGCAUGCGCGGUCCCUGCCGUUUACUGUAUAUGCGCCGAGGAAAAAAAGAACAGAAGCAACAAAACCAACCUUUUUACAGCAAAGUGGCUCGUGCUUUAUAAAUAACCUCCUGGGAAACAAAGAGCCAUCUCAACAGAGGCAUGUCUACUCUCAGUGACAAAGCGUCGCCGCUGUCUUGCUGCACGCCACCUCCAUUAAUUUACACCAAAAGCACGAAGAGUGACUGGGGCUCGCAGGAGGGAUUUUAGUGUGAUGAAACAAAGGAACAAAGGAUGCUUUAGAAGAGCUGCUGUCUUCAAGUCUGGAUUGUAUUUCAAAGCACACCGAUGGAUCUAUCCUCUUGCAGUACCUUUAGAUCGUGAUAUGUGACUGACGGCAUCGCUUAUGAUCCCUCUAUCUAUGGCGAACUAUAGCCAUGCAGGUGAGCACAGCAUCUUGCAGAGUGUGUCUCCCCUCGCCACGUUCCUCAAACUGACCUCCCUAGGCUUCAUCAUCGGGGUUGGCGUGGUCGGCAACUUCCUGAUCUCCAUCCUGCUCAUCAAAGACAAGAGUCUGCACAGGCCACCCUAUUACUUUCUGCUGGACCUCUGUGCCUCUGACAUCCUGCGCUCGGCGAUCUGCUUCCCGUUCGUGUUCACCUCGGUGAAGAAUGGCUCAGCGUGGACGUACGGCACGCUCACCUGCAAAGUGAUCGCCUUCCUGGGGGUGCUCGCCUGCUUCCACACGGCCUUCAUGCUCUUCUGCGUCAGCGUGACCCGCUAUCUGGCCAUCGCGCACCACCGCUUCUACACCAAGAGGCUGACCUUCUGGACCUGCUUGGCCGUCAUCUGCAUGGUGUGGACGCUCUCGGUGGCCAUGGCCUUCCCGCCCGUGCUGGACGUGGGCACCUACUCCUUCAUCCGGGAGGAGGACCAAUGUACCUUCCAGCACCGCUCCUUCCGGGCCAACGACUCUCUGGGCUUCAUGCUCCUCCUGGCCCUCAUCCUUCUGGCCACCCAGCUCGUCUACCUCAAGCUCAUCUUCUUCGUCCAUGACCGGCGGAAGAUGAAGCCCGUUCAGUUCGUGCCGGCCGUCAGCCAGAACUGGACCUUCCACGGACCCGGGGCCAGUGGGCAGGCAGCCGCCAACUGGCUGGCCGGCUUCGGUCGGGGUCCGACCCCGCCCACCCUGCUGGGGAUCCGGCAGAACGCAAACCCGGCGGGCCGGCGCCGCCUGCUGGUCCUGGACGAGUUCAAGACGGAGAAGCGCAUCAGCAGGAUGUUUUACGUCAUGACGUUCUUCUUUCUGACGCUGUGGGGACCCUACCUGGUGGCGUGCUACUGGAGGGUGUUUGCCCGGGCCCUGGCUGUGCCGGGGGGCUACCUGACGGCAGCCGUCUGGAUGAGCUUCGCCCAGGCCGGUGUCAACCCCUUCAUCUGCAUUUUCUCCAAUCGCGAGCUCAGGCGCUGUUUCAGCACCACGCUCCUGUACUGCAGGAAAUCCCGGUUACCGAGGGAACCCUACUGUGUUAUAUGAAGGCUUGUUUCUGUGAUUGAUUCUCUGGGCAGUUUGGUCAUACGCCUCCCCACCCAGUGCCCAGCAGAAGGGAAGGGAACUGUCCGUCAGUAGAUUCGGAAUGGGGAGUCCGGAGGCGCUUGGUGGAUAUUGUAAAUGUUCAGGAAUGGGAUGUCCUACUGUGUUUGUUAUGGUAAUUUAUUUGCUGUGGAAGCCUGUUUGAAGCCACAAAAGCAAAAAUAUAAAAACAAAACUCGAACUCUGGAUGUUUGAAGAUUAUUCUGUGAGUUUCUGUGUGCCUGCGUGUGCUCGACAGUUUGCGGUCCCCGUGGGCAGCCUUGUAGCCGGAGAGCGGGCGGCCGCUUCAUGCCUGCGAGGAAAGGGAUGCUGCUGAUCGGGGUCCUCUGUGCUUUAGGGAGCUCUGAGGAGGACUUGCAUCAUAGCUACACAUCCAUCUCUGCACGCCAUCUCAGCCACUCGACAUUCAUGUUAGUUUAAAGGUUUCCCAGGUAAUGGCAGAGGUGAUUGGCUGGCAGCUGACCCCCAUCACAUGGCCUUCCAGGGAGAAGCCUAUUGGGUCUCAACCCUGAACCCCUUUGAUUAAGUGCCGCCUGCAUUCAGCUCUUAUCGAUCGUUCUGUUUUGGAGCGGCGAAGCCGAGGAUGUGUUUUGUUGUUUUUGUCUGCUGUUGAAAUUUGGAAUCAGCACCCAAGUGGCUAAAUAAUAAGAAGCAAUGCCUUUGUUACAAAAAAUAAAUAACUGCAGAAUAAUGUUUUUGUUUCAGUGUCAGAUCUGGAAAUACUGUGUUCUGUAGAAGUGAAAAAAAAAAUGUUUCAGGCGGAGGAAACCGCAACAGAGUGCCAAAUCUCCAAUCCAAGAGAUAUUUCUGUUUCCUCAGAUAUGCUGCCACGAUGGUCUCAUACAGUCAUUCUGUAAUCAGGGUACAAAAAACAUGGGUCCCUGUUAAAAGGUUCAUCUCCCCUCCACUCAUUAGUAAAUAUGUCUGUGAGCAGUGCCGUGUCAUGUCCCUAAUGUCCGCUGCAGGGCGCGCUGCCUGCAUUCUGCCAGCGAGGAGCCAGCUGCCCUGCGUGACCGCAUGGCUUAGUGCUUGGACUGAUUGUAAAAGGUGCAAAUAUCAAAUGAUCUAGGAUUUUGUAAGGUGGGAACAUAACAGGAGCUGUAAUUCAUACACAGGUGCCAACCUUAUCAUUAGCCAAUGAUAUGUUUUGAAUUGGUGAGUGAUAGGGGCAGGGGCAUUGCAGGAACCAAUCAGCUUUCAGCUGGGGCCCGUGUCCCUGUGGUUCUACCCCUGGCGGUUAUGUUACAUAUGAUUAGCUGGAGCUGCAUAGGGUGUGAACACUGUUUAUCAUCAGGUGGGUAAAGGCCCAUUACUACCUGUAUUUAAGGUGAACUUACUGCCCCCUAAUGGAGGACCAAAGUAGUGCAAACAUACACCACACGCCACUCAGAGUGAGGGGACAACCGUUUCCCCAUCCCCCACCAGUGUGCCAAGAUGGUGCCACUGGUGGCUGCCUGGCGCAUGGGGUCAGCUCAGUGGUGCCAUUAGAGCUCCACACGGCAGGUAUCAGGUCCAUGGCAACAUGCCCAUAUGAGGGGGGGCGCGGCAUAGCGUCACACCCCGCGGGGGGGGUGUGCCCCCCCCCCGAGCUGGAAAAGACUGGAAUAUGCGUCACAUUUACUGGGAGUCAAGAGGCAGUGGGGGCGUUUUCCUUAGGGAGGGAGGAGAGGAGGCCGGCUCAGGUGACUGCUGGGUGUGGAGUCCGUGUCUGUACCCCUGGACACUCACAGCUCACCAUUUAGUGACCACUGUUUAAGUCUAAUGUUAAAUAUUAAAAACUGAACGCAGUUACUUAGCGCCAAUACAUAAAUAUGCCCCAUUUUCUAAAAAUGUGAACAAAAAAGUAGCAUGAUAAUAUUCAACAGAAGAAUACAUUUAAUUUUAUUUGUUUAGCAAAUGCUUUUGUGCAAAAUACUUAUCUGACAAAGAAUGUAAAUAAAAGCAUUUUCCCCCCAAAAAUCAUGAUUUUAACAAUAAUUGUACAAAACGAAUCAUCCCUAAAUGAACAGGAGACACAACUGAAGGAGGAUUCCCCUAAUUCUGCGCUAAAAGACUGAAUGUUGCAGGUGUACUUUACAAUAGCGUUUUCUAAAGCUAUUUUGUGUAUAUUUUGUGUUAAUUUAAAAUUACAAUCCAUUUAAAUUGAACUGAAAUGAUGGUUCUUAUUUCAGAAGUAUGUUCAUAAUCUGAAAACAUUCAACUGUAUUUGAAGAUGCUACGUUUCAGACUGAGGAUAAUGCUGCUAGGCUUCCGGAAGCCUUGAGAUUCUCCAGCCAGCUAAAUAAGGGACUAAGCCACCUUCAUUCUUUCGCCGCUUGACAAACACGCCCUGCCCCAUUUUUAAUCUCGCUGUGACUUGCCUUAUUUUAACGGCUGUUUGUAUCAAUGAGAGUACGGCCGCUCAUUUUGUAUUUGCCGCUGUUUUUUUCGCCCGGCUCCGCAGCAUCUCACCGUCCUUUCAUGCACAUCUCAUUACAUCUUUACAUCUUUGGUAUGUUAAUGAAAAUGGAUCAGAGGCAAUGUGCCUCAACAGAAACUAAUUAAUUAUCUCUAGAUUGCCCCACGACAGAGCAGCGCGGUUCCUCCUGGACGCUUGCUGCCAGCCCCUCUGCCGGGAGCUCGAGCCAAAACACGCCCCCCGGAGGGCGGCCGCUGUGUGACGAUGCUAAGGUGAAAUGCACCCACCUCAGAACCUGGCUGGCAAGCGCAAAGGCGUUUGAUUGUUUAAAUGCACAUUAUUGUGUCUCAACACACAAAAAUGUAUCUUCAUUAUUCUGUCAUUAUGGUCUCAAUUCAUGGUGAACGUUAAUAUUUUUUUCUUUCCUGUCUUUGAAGUCUUUGAAAACCAAAAGAUUUAAUAUCCACUUUACGAAUGGAUGCUCUUGCCGUUUCAAAUGCUGGCCACCAGCUCACCUUAUUAACUUCAUUAGUAAGUGAUAGCCCUCUGCCUCGCUGCCCCCUCCGGGACUUAUUGCAUCCCCACCUAUCUCAACAUCCCAAAAACAGACAACACGGAAUGCGAAAUAAGAGCGCGAGCAGACAUGCAAACACGAAUAUGCGGCUGUAGCUGCACGCAUAUUCAUAUAUGCAAACAAACCCAUAACACACAUAAGGAUUAAAGGGAGACUCGCUCUCCUCACGGUUGGAUGAAGUCAUUUUUUUGCAAAAUACCAAACUGAUUAAUGCAGGCUUCAAUUAGGUUUAAUGAGGAGUCAUUAUGCUCCCAGCUCAGAUUUAUUUUAAUCUUAUACUUCCAUGUGACUUGUUAAUUACAUGAUGCUAAUCUACAUUUUAUUUUUUGCUUUCAUUCAGUUUGCUGUGCUCACGUCAAGUAAAUGAAGGUUUCAAUUAGAUAAAGCCAAUUCAUUUCUCCUGACCUUUCAAUAUGCUGUUAUUUUGAAUAAUCCCCUCCAUUCAUCCAUCCAUUUUCUGUAAUUGCUUGUAUAUUUAUGAUUGCAUGGGGUGCUCCAUUCCUGUAGACUACAGGUGCAAGGUAGGAAACAACCCAGGAUGGGGCGGCAGCCAAUCACACGGCACACUCUGUCUUGCCCCGCUUCUGUCACUCCUGUUCUCUGUGAUGAGCCACGCCUGUUAAUUAUUUGUUUUGCCUCUCAGCUCAGCUCUUGUGUGACUCACUCCAGCUGCCUCUUAUGUACUCCCUCGUCAGUGGUGUUAUAAAGUGCCUCCCAGGCUUAUGCUUCCCAGUCCAGUCAUUGAUGUCAUCCCUGGCAUAUUAGCUGUUGUUGCUCCUGCCUGUUAUCCGCUCCCUUUGUGUUUCCUGUCCUUUGGUUUUUUUGAUCCCUUGUGAUCCUUUAGUUUUGCCCCUCCUCCCAAAUAAAUCCCUGUUCGGUUUUGCCCUGUAUCUUGCUCCUGUGUCUUUCCUCCAGCUAUGUUUCAUGGGACAUUCACACACCAUUCACUCGUACAAGCACACCUACA